rnacentral:rRNA from 1 species
CAGUAGCCGCGGUAAUACGUAGGGUGCGAGCGUUAAUCGGAAUUACUGGGCGUAAAGCGUGCGCAGGCGGUUGUGUAAGACAGGUGUGAAAUCCCCGGGCUUAACCUGGGAACUGCGCUUGUGACUGCACAGCUAGAGUAUGGCAGAGGGGGGUGGAAUUCCACGUGUAGCAGUGAAAUGCGUAGAGAUGUGGAUGAAUACCGAUGGCGAAGGCAGCCCCCUGGGCCAAUACUGACGCUCAUGCACGAAAGCGUGGGGAGCAAACAGGAUUAGAGACCCCCGUAGUCCCUGUCUCUUAUAA